GGUUGGCCCAAGCCCACCCACCCUCUCUGGGUCGUGCCAGGCUGCGACCCCCACUUUUGGAGGCUGCUGGACCAAGAUGGGGGCCCAGCUGUCGGUGGACAACUCUGUGCAGGUGGUGAUCGUGGGAGGCGGUUUUGGUGGGAUCGCGGCCGCCAGCCAGCUGAAGUCGUGGGGUAUCCCCUUCAUUCUGGUGGACAUGAGAGACGCCUUCCACCACAACGUUGCGGCCCUGCGCGCCUCUGUAGAGAAAGGAUUUGCCAAGAAAACUUUCAUUUCCUACAGCGUGACCUUCAAGGACAACUUCCGCCAGGGCCUGGUGGUGGGGAUCGACCUGCGGAAGCAGAGAGUCCUGCUCCAGGAUGGCGAGGCCCUUUCCUUCUCGCAUCUCAUCCUGGCCACUGGCAGCGAUGGCCCCUUCCCGGGGAAGUUCAACCAGCUGUCCAACAUGGAAAUGGCCAUCCAGAGUUAUGAAGUGAUGGUGAAGCAGGUCCAAAAGUCUCAGCACAUUGUGGUGGUGGGAGGAGGCUCAGCUGGAGUCGAGAUGGCGGCAGAGAUUAAAACAGAUUAUCCCGAGAAAGAGGUCACCCUCAUUCAUUCCCAAGUCCCUUUGGCCGACGUGGAGCUCCUACCUUGUGUCCGGCAGGAGGUGAAAGAGAUCUUGCUCCGCAAAGGCGUGAAGCUUGUGUUGAGCGAACGAGUCAGUAACCUGGACCAGCUGCCUCUGAAUGAAUCCCAGGAGCACAUCCUAGUGAAGACUGACAAGGGGACGGAGGUGGACACAAACCUGGUGAUCCUCUGCACGGGGAUAAAGAUCAACUCCUCCGCCUACAGCAGUGCGUUUUCGGACAAACUGGCAACUAAUGGGGCCCUGAGGGUCAAUGAGCAUCUCCAGGUGGAAGGGUUCGACCAGAUCUAUGCCAUCGGUGACUGUGCUGAUGUAAAGGAACCCAAAAUGGCCUAUCAUGCUGGCCUCCAUGCCAAUGUUGUGGUGGCCAACAUUGUCAACAGUAUGAAACAAAAGCCGCUCCAAAGCUACCGGCCAGGAGCACUGACCUUCCUCCUGUCCAUGGGUAGAAAUGAUGGCGUGGGCCAGAUCAGUGGGUUCUACGUCGGGCGACUUAUGGUUAGGUUGGCCAAGAGCCGUGACCUGUUCAUUUCUACAAGCUGGAAAACUAUGGGGCAGACUCCGCCCUAAUGAAGUGGGGCAGAAGAAAAAGUAACAAAAGAAAUCGAGUACUGGAUUGUCAAGAGGAACGAUGCCACGGCCAGUGAGUCCAGGGUGCAGCUAAAACAGCCGCCAGCUGGUCCCCUUUAUCCAGAACCAAACUGUGAAAAUGGGUGAAGAUGGAAUAAAAAAAUAUUCACUAGAUGAUUAAUCCCAAUGUAAAGUCAGUCUUGAAGCUAUGGGAGGUGAAGAUUCUCUCUUGACCCUAGUCACUUUGGGGUAGUCCUGUCUCUCUAAAGUUUGGGAGGAGAGAGGAAAAGGGGAGAAAAUGAAGGCAGGGUGGAGUGAUUGCUCAACAACCUCAGUAAUUCUGGGACACCCCCUUCUUCCUUCUCCCGCUUCACCCACCUGGGAAAGAGGCCCUGCCAAUCCCGAGGGGCUGUUUGGAGCAGAAUGGGACAUUGUCUCUCUGCUCCGAGUCUACCAGGAAGGGACAUUAUGCUGGAGGACAAUGGUAGCAGUUUGGAGGUGUAUGAACACCUCAGGAACAAAACUCUCCCCACCCCUUCCCCGUUAAUAAGCUUAGACUCUUAAACACAGAGACAGAAUCAGUAAUUAUCAUCUUGGGGGUGAGUUUCAUUCCAGAUGUUAGGAUGGGACCUGAACCCAAGCUGUUCACAAAACCCUGUCUUAACUUUUGUGGCCUACCGAGAAGCAGUGAGUUCUUGGUGGAAGGAACCCAGGCCUGGGAAUCCCAAGCUCUGCUGUGGGACCUCGGCGAAGUCACUUAACU